GACGAACGCUGGCGGCGUGCUUAACACAUGCAAGUCGAACGGAGUGGUGAGCGGGUGAGUAACACGUGGGUGACCUGCCCGGUACUUCGGGAGAAGCAUGGGAAACUGGUUCUAAUACCGGCUAGUGUGGGAUGGGCCCGGGGCCUAUGGGCUGGGUGGUGGGGUAAUGGCCUACCAAGGCGGGGACGGGUAGCCGGUCUGAGAGGGUGGACGGCCACAAUAGUACUAAGAGAGGGGCCAGACUCCUACGGUGCGCAGCGGUGGGGACUAUUACACAGUGUGCGGACGCGUGCGGCAGCGACGCCGCGUGUGGAAUGCUGGCCUUCGGGUUGGGAACUCCUUUCGCCAUCGACGCGGUAGAUGGAGAAGAAGCACCGGCUAACUACGUGCCAGCAGCCGCGGUAAUAC
rnacentral:rRNA from 1 species